rnacentral:rRNA from 1 species
CUUGAUGAACGCUAGCUACAGGCUUAACACAUGCAAGUCGAGGGGCAGCAUGGUCUUAGCUUGCUAAGGCCGAUGGCGACCGGCGCACGGGUGAGUAACACGUAUCCAACCUGCCGUCUACUCUUGGACAGCCUUCUGAAAGGAAGAUUAAUACAAGAUGGCAUCAUGAGUCCGCAUGUUCACAUGAUUAAAGGUAUUCCGGUAGACGAUGGGGAUGCGUUCCAUUAGAUAGUAGGCGGGGUAACGGCCCACCUAGUCUUCGAUGGAUAGGGGUUCUGAGAGGAAGGUCCCCCACAUUGGAACUGAGACACGGUCCAAACUCCUACGGGAGGCAGCAGUGAGGAAUAUUGGUCAAUGGGCGAGAGCCUGAACCAGCCAAGUAGCGUGAAGGAUGACUGCCCUAUGGGUUGUAAACUUCUUUUAUAAAGGAAUAAAGUCGGGUAUGGAUACCCGUUUGCAUGUACUUUAUGAAUAAGGAUCGGCUAACUCCGUGCCAGCAGCCGCGGUAAUACGGAGGAUCCGAGCGUUAUCCGGAUUUAUUGGGUUUAAAGGGAGCGUAGAUGGAUGUUUAAGUCAGUUGUGAAAGUUUGCGGCUCAACCGUAAAAUUGCAGUUGAUACUGGAUAUCUUGAGUGCAGUUGAGGCAGGCGGAAUUCGUGGUGUAGCGGUGAAAUGCUUAGAUAUCACGAAGAACUCCGAUUGCGAAGGCAGCCUGCUAAGCUGCAACUGACAUUGAGGCUCGAAAGUGUGGGUAUCAAACAGGAUUAGAUACCCUGGUAGUCCACACGGUAAACGAUGAAUACUCGCUGUUUGCGAUAUACUGCAAGCGGCCAAGCGAAAGCGUUAAGUAUUCCACCUGGGGAGUACGCCGGCAACGGUGAAACUCAAAGGAAUUGACGGGGGCCCGCACAAGCGGAGGAACAUGUGGUUUAAUUCGAUGAUACGCGAGGAACCUUACCCGGGCUUAAAUUGCAGAUGAAUUACGGUGAAAGCCGUAAGCCGCAAGGCAUCUGUGAAGGUGCUGCAUGGUUGUCGUCAGCUCGUGCCGUGAGGUGUCGGCUUAAGUGCCAUAACGAGCGCAACCCUUGUUGUCAGUUACUAACAGGUUCCGCUGAGGACUCUGACAAGACUGCCAUCGUAAGAUGUGAGGAAGGUGGGGAUGACGUCAAAUCAGCACGGCCCUUACGUCCGGGGCUACACACGUGUUACAAUGGGGGGUACAGAGGGCCGCUACCACGCGAGUGGAUGCCAAUCCCCAAAACCUCUCUCAGUUCGGACUGGAGUCUGCAACCCGACUCCACGAAGCUGGAUUCGCUAGUAAUCGCGCAUCAGCCACGGCGCGGUGAAUACGUUCCCGGGCCUUGUACACACCGCCCGUCAAGCCAUGGGAGCCGGGGGUACCUGAAGUGCGUAACCGCGAGGAGCGCCCUAGGGUA